UGCGUAGGCGGCAUCGCAAGUCGGUCUUAAAAGUGCGGGGCUUAACCCCGUGAGGGGACCGAAACUGUGAAGCUCGAGUGUCGGAGAGGAAAGCGGAAUUCCUAGUGUAGCGGUGAAAUGCGUAGAUAUUAGGAGGAACACCAGUGGCGAAAGCGGCUUUCUGGACGACAACUGACGCUGAGGCGCGAAAGCCAGGGGAGCAAAACGG
rnacentral:rRNA from 1 species